rnacentral:ncRNA from 1 species
UUGUGUUCCGAGGGGUGUCCCAGGCAAGGGACUGAGACGCCGCGAUCGCAUCCUCCGGACGGUCCAUCUCUAGACGUUCGAUGGACCGGAGCGAUGCGCCUAGCGGUGACCCUUUGAACCUGAUCCGGGUCACGCCGGCGAAGGGACGGGAACCGUUUCAAGC